AUGGCGUUCGCCGCGCGGAGGAGCCUCGCCUCCCGCUUCUCCCACCACCUCACCCGCCGCCUCCACCCAUCCGUCCCGCAUCUGCUCUCCCGCUCCAACGACGAUGAGCCCCCGAGCCCCUCAUCUCAGCCACAGCCACUCCCGUCAUUCCGCUCCCAGCUCCCGCCCGCUUCCAGAGCAGCCCAAACCCUACACCACCUCCUCCCCUUCUCUCUCCAACACUCGGGGCUACCUCACCGCGGCUUCUCCUCCUCCGCCCCCGCUCCGGACCCACCCGGAGAGGUUGAUGCUGCCGCGAGCGUCCUUGUCGACGCCGCGGAGGCGGUUGCUUCGUCGGUGCCGGCGCCGUUCCCGGGGGAGGUGGCAGCCGCCGCCGCCGACUCCUUCUUCCCCGUCGCCGCGCUGCAGUACCUCAUUGACUACGUACAUACCUUCACCGGUCUCAACUGGUGGGCUUGUAUCGCGUUAACGACGGUGCUGAUCCGGACCGCGACGAUACCAGUGCUGGUUAGCCAGCUGAAGUCCACCCAGAAGCUAAAUGCAAUAAAACCAGAGAUGGAAGCCAUUAAGGAUGCAAUGGAUAGUACGGAUCCAAAAGCAGCGUUAGAGGGGAAGUAUAAAAUGACCGCACUCUUUCAAAAGCAUGGUGUUAGUCCAUUUAGUCCACUAAAAGGAAUUCUAAUCCAAGGGCCAAUGUUCAUGAGCUUUUUCUUUGCUAUAAAUAACAUGGUUGAGAAAGUCCCUUCAAUGAAAGGAGGAGGAGUAUUUUGGUUUACUGAUCUGACAACCCCGGAUCCUCUUUACAUCUGUCCUGUGUUAGCAGCACUGACCUUCUUGGCCACAGUGGAGCUUAACCUGCAGGAAGGAAUGGAGGGCAAUUCUAUGGCCGGUAAAAUGAAGACAUUUUCUAGAGGAAUGGCACUCAUGACAGUCCCAUUCACAAUGAAUUUUGCCAAGGGAAUUUUCUGUUACUGGGUCACGUCGAACUUGUUCUCCCUCGUUUAUGGUAUUGUUAUGCGUCGACCCGCUGUGAGGAAGUUGUUUAAUCUUCCUGCUUGGGAAGCUCCGUCUGCACCCGCACUGAAUUCAGCCUUGAAUAUGUUUGGUGGAUCCAAGGCAGUACCUUCAGAAAAGUCACCUUUAGCACUCACGGCAGCCCAGCAAUCUUCUUUGGAGAAACCUGAUGCUGCCGCUCUUGGGUAUCGGGUAAAAAAUCUUGAAAAGAAGGGGAAAUCUAGAGGCAAAUCUCGGAAGCGCAGGUAA
rnacentral:rRNA from 1 species